AAAUAAGCUUGGCUUUCAGUAGCUGUUUCACCAAGAGAAGUCAAAAGAAGCUCAGAUCACGUCAGUGAGAGCCAUGACAUCCUACCGAUGUGAACAUGAUAAAUGCUGGAGCACAUAGCAACUGACCAGGCACGCCUUCAGCACACUCCACCUUGCCAGAGAGGCAGCCAGCUUGCAGUGAUCUUUGCAAAAACUGCAGUGUGUUGCUAGCCUUUGGUGCUGCCACACAUCACAGAUGAACUGGGAAGGAACUGAGAUACAAAAAGGAAAAAGGAGCUGCAGGCUGUAGAGAGAGUGGCGCAGACCCCAGAAGGGUGAAAUUCAUCUGAAAGGGAAGUAAAGCUUUUCGAAGGGUGGCUUGAGACUGCGAACUCCCACAGAAACUGAGGGACUAAGAACAAUUAUAAGCCUCCUCUGUGUCAUCUCCAAGUGCAAAGUAGGUUCCUUCAGCCUGCUUGUCUGAUUGAAACUGUGUAUUAAAUCAAUGUGCAUAUAGGUUCCUUUAAUAAUAUGUCUAAAAGCAAAAGUAAAAACAACGCGAUUUUAACUGCACGCACUACCAUGCUGAGCAGACAAUAACAAAAGGAAACGAAAUGUACUGGCACAAUGUUUAUCACAUUCCACCAUGCAGUACUUCUAUUAUGCAUUCAGGUAUUAUGGUGAGGAAACCAGCAUAAGAUGUAAUGGAAUAGAACUAAUUACUGCUAUUGACCCAUGUACAGUUGAAAGCCUAAACUGCAACUCUAAUGUCUCCAACUGAAAAUGCCCCUAUUUUAUUCAGCACACUGACUCCUCCUGUGUGCAUUCAGGAUAAUAUCCAUUUACUGACAUAAGCUAGUUUUUACUUUCUACUAGUUACACUCCUACAGAAGCAAAGAGCUCUGGGAAAGAGAUUUUUUUUUUUCAACACAUCAAUCCACAGUAUUAAAUUCCUGUGGCAGGCUCACUCUUCAGCCCGAGUGUAGAAAUUAUGCUCCUGGAUAUAUACAUCUGUGUAGCCCCAUUGAAGGCAGUAGACUUGCACUUGAAACCCAAAGCAGAAUUCAAAAAACAGAAGGAAGCCAAUACUGUAAUUUAAGACAGUUUUUGCCCUUCAGAAUAGUCAUUAUCAGUGAUGAAGUAUGAG